CAGGGGUAAAACGGUCACUUUUGCUCCAAGCACCUCCUAUGAUUUUCUACCAACAAUACAACAUUAAUCCACUAAUUUAAGCACUAAACCACCAUUAAAUCCAUCAUCAAGCAUGAGAUCAGUCCUCAAGACAAAGGUGGGAGUUCAUAGAGCCCACCCAUUUCAUUUUACACCAUAAACAAGCUACCCAAAUGCAAAUACUACCUUAUACAUGUAAGAUGAUCUUCAUAAAGCAAGAUUUAAGUGUUGGAUUAACACCUACUUGAUUAGAGGAUGAAGGCAGAAAUUUCGGCCCCUUAGAUGCUCAAGAAAACCGUGGAUAGCAGCCCUCUUUCUUAGCUUGAUGUAAUCUCCAAGUAAUUAGCUAAGAGUGGUUGAAAUUUGAAGUGAAAUGGAGAAGAUUUGGUGAAGAAAUUAGGAUGGAAUUGGAGUUGUUUUUCUCCUUUGUUAGCCGGCCAGAUGAGGAAGCAAGAGAGAGAGAGAGUGAUCAGAUUUUAGCUUCCAAGAGAAGGUUCAUUUGUGUGGCCCAUAAUUGUGCAAAAGUCAACCCUACUAACGCGCGCACUCGCGCGCGUUUCGUGCUCGAUUCCUCUCGCGUUUGUUUCACUAGUGCACUAAACCUCUAAUGCACUUAUAUUCAUAUAAAUAUCAUUCACUCUUAAUUAUCUCAAAAUAAGGGUCUAAAGUUCCUAAAUUAAAAUCACGCGUGUGAAAACGCGUAUCUCCAAUCUGAGCGCGAUAACGCGAAACUUCCGAGAAAUUCUUAUAACGAUAAUACUAAUAACUAUCACUUGAGUAUUUAAACAUUAAAAUACCUAAUUUAGGUCUAUUAUACAAAUCUCCAAUAUUCCAAACUUAUUGUACUCUCAAUCAGUCAAGAUUUCCAAAGACGUGUUCACUAUUUUCACUAAACGAGCUUCCGGAAAUUAAUUUUUGAAACAAGUCAUUUUAAAAAUAUAAUGAAACUAUAUUUCCAUGUAAUUAGGUCUCAAGAGCUUAGAAAAUAAUAUUCGGAGUAAAAGGCCAAAUAAAUAAUUAAAUAAGCGAGAAAUGGGAGAUUAAAUAAGUAAAUUUUGCGAGUCCUCACAACCUCCCCUCCUUAAAAGAAUUUCGUCCUCGAAAUUCAUACCUUCUGUAAUCUCAGACAACUCUGAACCGUGUGGUGUGUUCAUGUCAUGCGUUCUUUCAGAUGCCACUGGUCGGUUUCUCCUUCCAUUGACUUGUCGAGAGACAGUUCCAUUUCCUUGUUGAGCAGUAGUUUCUCGUGGAUACCUCCUUGGACAGUCAUGAACUUUAUGGUUGGUACUCCCACACCCCAUACACUUUCGUCCCUUUAACCAACAGUUUUCUUCAGUGUGAUUCGUCCUUCCGCAAUAUCCACAAGUCGGACGAGGUAUUAUGACCUGACUGGCUUGCGAGGUUUUCUUUGAUCGUGUCUGUUCUACUGAAGUCUUUCGCGACAUAGUUCCUUUUGGUUCCUUUAUCAUGAGUGGUGCAGGAAAUAACAGUCCUACUUCAUCCACUUCUUUUCUAACUUUGGGUGGUGGUCCAUUUUCUCCUAGUGUACUGUCAGAUGCAUCUCUUUUCCUUGCUUGAAAAGCUCUCAGUUGAGAUUUUGUGCUUUCUACCCUUUGCGCUUUUUCGAGAGCAUCACUAAAUGUUUCAACCUGUGCUGCAGCAAGGGCAUCUUGGAUUUCCAAAUCUAAUCCUUGGAUAAACCGUCUUAUUCUCUUCCGUUCAGUAGCCACCAAUUCUGGGGCAUAUGUAGAUAAUUUCGUAAAGCGUGUUUCAUACUCAGCUACGCUCAAAGUUCCUUGACGAAGCUUUAUAAAAUCAUCUUCUCUCUUUUCUUGGACAAGUGGAGGAAGAAAUUUCUCAUUAAAUUCACGUACAAAGUUUAUCCAAGUCCUUAGGGUUUGAUCCCUUUCCCACUUGUUUCUUACAACAUUCCACCAUGCUUGGCUGCUCCUUCAAGUUGAAAUACAGCAAAGGUGACUUGUCUCUCCUCUGUGUAAUCCAAGGCAUCGAAUAUAUUUCUUAUAUUCUCUAACCAAUUCUCAGCCACCUCUGGAUCAGGUCCUCCAGCAAACUUGGGUUGGGAAAAUUUCUGAAACCGCUCUAAAGGUCGAUCCUCCCCUAUUUCUUGGUUUCUACGUUGGUUUCCUUGUCCAACACCUUGACCUUGUUGAGCUACUAAGAGCUCUAGGAUAUCCGUCAUGCGAGUUAAAACUUGUCCCAUUUGGUCAUUUCCUCUCCCAGCACUUAGCUCGACAUUUUGGUCAAUAUCAGAUCCAUUAUCUACUCUUUCAUUUCGGGGUUGUCUAGGUUGACGUCCCUUUCGUUGUCCUCUAGUUUCCAUGUUCACAGCUAGUCUAUACGCACAUGCAUAAACCUCAUACUUAGCUAAAAUUGAACUAUACUCAUAUACCAGUAGCAACAUUUAAAGAGGAUGAAGUCACUUACACAAAUAACAUUAUCACUAUGCAAGUAAACACAAAGUAGAGUUCAUUACAUCAUAACACAAAUUAUGGUCAAGUAAAGUUCAUGCCAAGUCAAAGUCAAUAACAAAAAUAAACAAAUGAUUAUCACCAGUACAUUCAUCUCUAAGGCGCAAACUCUUAGGUUCUACUCCCAUCGUCUCACUAUGGAAGAUCACAAAUAGGGAUCCACUAGAUUAAUUGAAACUAGAUGAUUCUCGUUCCCUAACAUGCUCGAUUUCAAUCCCAACACAAGGAUCUUUUGAGUUACAAUAUUUUCCAACUUCCACUCUUAAUUAUUGUACCAUCUUAACCAAACAAUUAUUGGUUUCCUGUAACCAUUCACAUGAAAUAUCGAUUCAUUCUUAUUCCCCACAAAUGGAGACAUAAAGUCCCUAUGAUUGCCAUCAACUCUCAAAUACUCGGGUACAAGAAUCCAAAAUAGGAUAAUUCACAACUCGAGCCGGCCGGUCCCAAGAGUAAAUCACCACAUUCGAGAUUCCUACCCAACAUACAUAUUAAAUUCCCUCCAAUUAUCAAGAUAAAGGUUUUACAACCUACAAUAUUCAUGAUUCACAGCUUACAUUUCUAGAAGGGCACUUAAGCCUUUACUCAAUCACAAAGUAAGGACCAUAACACCACUUGGCCCUAUCUUGCUCCUUUGUAGAGACCACGCGAAGUGGCACUAAAUUUCAUCGCUACAAGCAAUCAUUUAACUUUCAGACUAGUCCCACAGUCCGGCAUCCUAAACAUUUAAGCCUAGGAUACACUACAAAGAUCUGAAACCUAAGCUCUGAUACCAACUGUGACGCCCCCACUUCUCCCUAAGGCGAACCAAAGGGUAUCCGCGGGACGCCUGCCCAGCUCUCGCCAGGACUCACUACAAUCCAUCAUUCAAGAGCUCGAAAUACUUUAAGUAACUUCAAUACAUAAUUAAAGUACUUCAAAUAUCUCACACUUACAAUUAUGUAGCUUUCAAGCUUAAAUACAACUCAACGGAAAAGGGGUACAAUAGCCAUCCGUUAUAAUAUAACUUAAAGUUUCAAAAGAAAACAAUCUAGUACUACUCACGAGCACCCUUGGUCUCGAACCCUGUAAAAGAAAACCACAACGUGGAAUGAGCUACACAGCCCAGUGAGGUUCCAAGACACUCUAACAGUUCAAAUAAAUCAAGUAAGUUGGGCAUAUCAUAUGCAUGGUUCAAGGUUACACAAUGGCAUGUUAUCAUGAGGUGAUAAUUUUUGUACGGGUAAUUUGAGACAUUUAUCAUGGUAUGAGACAUUGGCAUGUAUAGUUCACGAGUGAUUGGAACUUAUUACCGGUGCGAGUAAUUAAACAUAUUACAGGUAUGGAGCAUUAACAUGAAACAGGUUUCAUGAUAUGAGUACAUUGAACAGGCAACAGGUAUGGAGCAUAUCGCAGGCAUGGCUCAGGAUUUCAUGUUGACAUUUUAGCAUGAAACAAUUAUCAUGAUACAAGGUAAACAUAUACUGUAGGAUACGGUGUUCCAGUGGAACUCUGUCGGUCAUCUGUACCUUAUGACUUCCAAAUCCCCUCGGUUUGACUGGCCAUCACCUUAUCCCUCCAGUGGUAAUACUCGAGUAUACCGAAACGGUGUCCCAAGGUUCCAACCUACCCGACCGAGCCCAGUCCUGGCUCGAGUAGGUUAGUAACGAUGAGAAGGGCCCAAUUCAGCUUAGAGCUUACAACAUGCACAAGUAAUCAAGUAAUUCGGCAAAAGGUAAAAUUCAUCAUUUGAGUAGGUCGAGUGAGGUAAAGUACACACUCGCCUAACAAUGAUGGACAGCUUCAUAUAACAUGCGAUUCAUGAUAAUCAAGUGAUCAAGUAAGUUGGUGAUCACGUAAGCAGAUAAUCAAGUAAGCAAGUAGCCGAAUGGAUUAGAAAACGGUAAGUAAACACGGUAAACGGUAAACGGUAAACGGUGGUAAUUACGGUUAAUUGGUAGACAUAUGUCAUUUUAAUAGGCCACCAUUGGCCGUUUUUCACUUUUUCCACAUAAGAGUCGAGGAGAUUCACUCCAACCGACUUUUACUGUCAUAGCAUAAUUAAUCAUUUAAACACAUCAUGUAGAUAUGCUCUCCAAGCAUUUCAUAUCUAGUAUUUCAAGUAAUCACAUAAAUAUGCUCUUUAAGCAUUUCAUAUCGAAUAGUUCAAAUAUACAUAUUUCAGGUAUUUCAUGUCGAGUAAUUCAAGUAUACCUCAUUCAGAUAUGCAUGAGUGUGGUAAAUACUUAACAUAUAGCACUUAACAGUUAAUAAUCAUGGGUUAUGCAUGUCAUAGACUUAUUCCAAUUACGUAUUCCUAUAUGGAACACUCACCUAUAGCAACAAGAGAGUAAUACUCAAACAAAUGUCUAGGCGUCCACUUCGAGUUCCUCUUGAAGGUCCCCUUGAGCGCCUGGGCAAAUAACCAUUAACUAUUAUACACUAUCACUUAGAACCCCUACUUAUCAAAGAAGGUUAUACAAUCUAAGGAGAAUUCAUUAAUUGGGCCUUAAUUAUUAAUAAUCGAGGCUCAAGAGUAAAGUUUUAAAGUCUAAAGAGAGAGACUAAUAUUUUCCAUGAAAUGGAGUUCAAAAUGUUCAAUCGGUAUCGAGAAAAGAAGGCAAGUUUCCAAAAUCUCAUUUUCUAAGAAAUUGAUAAAUUUCAGCUUUGGGUGUCAAUUUUAGAAAAAUUGUAUCCUGCACUAUGUAGGUCCAAAAUUGGAAAGCUUGAUACCAUUGGAAACUUCUUCAAAAGCGCUAAAAGUUCCUAGAAGAUACUUUUCCAUGAUUCCAAACAGAAGGUAUUCAAAAAUUGACUCAAAGUUGCUGCUUGGGACCAUUUAGACAGUUUCGGGGUUGGUUUUUGACCAUCUUUGAAAAUCCAGCAAAAUUCAUACAAUAUGAACUAACCUCCGAAAUUUAUAACUCAAUUAGAGCUACAAUCAAAGUUUAAAACAAAACAAACGGUACAAGAAUUGAAGUUUUGAGCGCCAAGAUAUAGCAGCUCAAAGUUGGCUAAAAAUUCCUCCUCGAUCAAGAAUUUCCAGAUUUAAACAUGAACUUUGGGACUUUGUUUGAACAUCUAAACAGACUCGAAAUGGUACCAAAUUUGGUAUGAUUAUACUACCAUAAAAGGGCUAUUCCUCUGUCAAAUUUCAUAGAAAAAUAUGCACGGAAAGUCACUUAACGAAAUCACUCAAGUUUCCAAAUUUUUAAGGCAAAGCUGCCUCGUGUAUGAAAAUUUCCUUUUCUAAACUUUUGACCAAGGGAAGAUACCUAAAACAUGUCUCGUUUAUGAUAAUCAGGUCUAGCAAGAAUUCAAAAUACAUUUGAUAGGUGAUUUACAUCAAGUAUUUCGAAAUAACAAGUCCCAAAUCAUUGUUAGUUACAAAUCUGUCCAAGUGGAAAAUUCUAUCACUGUAGCUGUUUCAAACUUUGGCCACAACUCACUCAAUUCAACUUAGAAUUGGGCGUGGUUGAUGGCGUUGGAAAGCUCUCUCAUAAAUCUGAGUUUUCUCAGAAGAAACCAUUUUCAAAUUCCAUUCACAAACAGCUCUUUUUUGAGCAUGAAGAUACAAGUCCUGUCCUGUCUCCUGGAGAGAAACGAAACAGGACAGUGAUUUUCAAUCGAAUGGUGUGGCUCCCUCAAGUGGAACCAGAACGUGAAAUUGUUACCAAUGGAAAGCUGGGAAUGUCUAGUUUCCAAUGCCACAAACGGCACUUGAUUUCGACAUCGGAGCAAAGAGUUAUAGCCGAUACAAAAUGACUGCCUGGGCAAUACGGGAUUCAUUUUCCAGUUUUGCUAACUUUGGAAAUCAACUCAUUUGACCAACCAAAUCAUGUUAUUUUUCAAUGAAAUUUUGUACACACUCACACUAACAUGUAAAAAAUAUAAUCAAGUCAUUAGAACCUCAAAAUUGUGCACAAAAUGGUCGGACAAGACAGGGGUAAAACGGUCACUUUUGCUCCAAGCACCUCCUAUGAUUUUCUACCAACAAUACAACAUUAAUCCACUAAUUUAAGCACUAAACCACCAUUAAAUCCAUCAUCAAGCAUGAGAUCAGUCCUCAAGACAAAGGUGGGAGUUCAUAGAGCCCACCCAUUUCAUUUUACACCAUAAACAAGCUACCCAAAUGCAAAUACUACCUUAUACAUGUAAGAUGAUCUUCAUAAAGCAAGAUUUAA
rnacentral:lncRNA from 1 species